ensembl:misc_RNA Metazoa_SRP Metazoan signal recognition particle RNA
GCCGGGCGUGGUGGCCCACGCCUGUAAUCCCAGCUACUUGGGAGGCUGAGUCAAGAGAAUCACUUGAACCCAGGAGGCAGAGGCUGCAGUGAGCCAAGAUCGUGCCACUGCACUCCAGCCUGGGUGACAGAGUGACUCUGUCUCAA